AUGUAGUUAUUCCUUGCCUACACCCACAAUAAUUAUUCCUUAAAAAUUGACAAAUACACAAAAAUUUCAGCUCCCAGCUCAGCAUUUUUUGGGGGUAAAAUAGACCUUUUCCCCACACUAUAUAAGCCUCUUUAACACGGAAUUUAUGCCAUUUUAAACCAUAAUAUACUCCCUUUGCUAAAAUUCUCUCCAAAAUCAUCAAGAACAAGUUAAGGAUUUAAUUGGGGGUUUCAAGAUUGAAGCCAAUAUCACCGCUAACCUUCACGAAUCAUCAACCUAAGGUAUGCGUAGUGUUCAUCCAUGGAUCCCUUUCAUCCAUGGAGCUCAAGAAUCAUGUUUUAAAUAAUAAAUUGUGUUUACCUUGUUGUGAUACGAUUGUGUUCGUAUUGAUGGUGGUUAUUUAUGUUUCAAGAUGGUAUUUUGAUGUAUUGUCAUCAAGUAUGUGGGCUUGUUAGUUGAAACCCAUGAAUUUAGGUGGUUUAAGAUUGCUAAAUUGUCAAAUACACCUAUGCUCAAGGUGGUGCAUGUAAGGUGUUUGAUAAAAUGUCUAAAAUUUGAUAAAGAUCAUGUUUUCAUGACUUAGUAGUGCCCAAAUGACAAGUCCAUGCUAACCUUAUGAUUCAACACAAUUUCCAUGCUAUUGUUGUGUAUUGAUUGUCGUGUUAUAAAAUGUUCAUGAUGUUGAAACCAUGCAAGUAUUUACAUGUUAUAUGAGUUCCCUUCCAUGAACAAGAAUAUGAUAACCAUGUGAAGCAUGAAAUUCUCUAUUUACGGCAUUAUGAGUUAUGAACUCUAUUCCUAUGAUCAAGAAGUGUCAUGGUUGUGUCAGUUUCCUUCCAUCGAGUCCUGGGGGUACUUGAACCCGAAAAAUAUAGUUGUGUGCCCAGAGCCAUGUCAUGUUUUCACGAUAUCCGUAGUCAAGCCAUGUUCCAUAGAAUUCAGUCAUGUGACUCGGGAAAUCUCAGAAAUCCCAUGAUCUCAAUCAGUUAUCAGAUAUCAGUAGUAUUCCGUCAGUUAAUAGAAUUCAGUAAACUCAGUCCAUGUACAGUCAAUUAACCAUGUUCAGUUUCUUCAGAUGGGAGUAAAUUAGCACCGAGUGAACCCAAGGAUGGGAACACACACUGUCAGAUGAGGGUGUGAUUCUUAGCAGUCACCCUUGCAUUCCAAAACUAUGUAUCCAGCAUAGGUUGAGACAUCAACACUGUCAGAUGAGGGUCGAUAAGGUGGAUAAGCACUGUCAUGUGAGGGGCCCACCGUUCUCUUUUGGGGAUACUGUCAGAUGAGGGAUACCCACAGCUUGUCUUUACCAGUGGGGCAGUAUUGACACCCUUCCAAUCAGGGCAUAUAUUGGACCCCAGCUCAGCUAUUAUAGCGCACUUGGGGCAUGUCGUUUAAAUAACUACUUCCCAUAGUUUCAGUCUCAGUCUUCGUAAAAGAACUCAGAUAGUUCUUCAGAUUUCAGAUUAUCAGGAUUGUCAAAUAUAAUCAACUUAGUUACAGUACAAAACUCAUAUAGUUCCAUCAGAUUCAGGACUGUCAGAUAUAGUCACUCAUGUUAUCAGUUAUAUCAGUUAUCAGAACUCUAGUAUCAGUCAUGUUAGAUAUCAGUAAACCAUGUUAUCAGUAUACAGAUUCAGUUAUCACGUUUUCAUGAUCUCAGUUACUAUGCAUUCAUGUAUGCACUCUCACGUUCAUAUUAGUCAGUCAGUUAGUAUUGUUCAUGCAUAUGAACCCCAUGCAUUCAACCUACCUCAUUUUCAUACUCAGUACAUUCCAACGUACUGACGCAUUUGUGCUAUGGUGUUUUUUUUAAUUUUACACCAUAGGCUCAGAGACACGAGCUCCAGAUCAGCAGUAGCAAUAGCAUUAUAGUACCC
rnacentral:lncRNA from 1 species